rnacentral:rRNA from 1 species
UACGUAGGGUACAAGCGUUGUCCGGAAUCAUUGGGCGUAAAGAGCGUGUAGGCGGCUCGGUAAGUCCGCUGUGAAAGUCCAGGGCUCAACCCUGGAAUGCCGGUGGAAACUGUCGAGCUAGAGUCCGGAAGAGGCGAGUGGAAUUCCUGGUGUAGCGGUGAAAUGCGCAGAUAUCAGGAGGAACACCAAUGGCGAAGGCAGCUCGCUGGGACGGUACUGACGCUGAGACGCGAAAGCGUGGGGAGCAAACAGG